rnacentral:lncRNA from 1 species
GAGUAUUCCAUCAAGUUCACUUCUGCACACCAGGAUUCCAGGGAUUUCCUCAUCCAGCUGCUCUCCAAUGACAUCAGGGCAGCACCGUGCAUGGGCACAGUCGUGCCCCUAAUCUGUUCAGAGGCUCUCCAUAGUUGCAACCUUACUCUGUCCUCACCAUAACUAGAUGACAUAUUUGCUCACUUAUCAUCUCCCCACCAUCCACUCCAUCAAAGAUAUGCUCAUGCAAGUAGGGACUUUGCAGUGUUCUCUGCUGUACCACAAGGAAGACAAAUUGAGUAGCCUAGUGAUAUCUGAGUGCCUCCCUCUGCUCCUAAUGAAACAUAAAAGAUGAGGUAACACCGUGCAAGGAAGGCAGGGAGCAGAGUGACUAUGGGAG